rnacentral:tRNA from 1 species
GGGCCGGUAGAUCAAGCUGGCAGAUCGCCUGACUCUCGAUCAGGAGGUUCCGGGUUCGAGCCCCGGUCGGCCUGC